rnacentral:rRNA from 1 species
AGGGAUCAUUACAGAGUUAUACAACUCCUACACACUUCGUGAACCUUACCGUCGCGGUUGCUUCGGCGGGUGGCCCGGGGAGGGGCCGCUGCCGGUGGGGGCGCCCCGCCGAAGCUCCGGACUCUAUAACCGUAUCGUUAUCUCGUACCUCUGAGCUACAAAACAAAUAAGUCAAAACUUUCAACAACGGAUCUCUUGGCUCUGGCAUCGAUGAAGAACGCAGCGAAAUGCGAUAAGUAAUGUGAAUUGCAGAACUCAGCGAAUCAUCGAAUCUUUGAACGCACAUUGCGCCCGCCAGUAUUCUGGCGGGCAUGCCUGUCCGAGCGUCAUUUCAACCCUCAAGCUCUGCUUGGUGUUGGGGCCCUACGGCUGCCGUAGGCCCCGAAAAUUAGUGGCGGACCCGCCGCGGCUCCGAGCGCAGUAGCUUACCUCGCUUGUAGUCCCGCGGCGUGCACUUGCCGUUAACCACCCAAUUUUUCAAGGUUGACCUCGGAUCAGGUAGGAAUACCCGCUGAACUUAA